UAGGGUGGCAACGAGACAGGCGACCCAACGUAGUAGAAGGGAUCCGAGGAAGCAUAAUGAGUGUCCAAGCGUUUGAGAGCCUUCAUCUGUGGGUUUCUUUGGUGCUUCACUGCAAGGGCAUCACGGAGAUAACUAUCAGCAGUGGGGAAAAGAAGUGCAAUGUACUCACCACAUCGGACGACAAGUGUUGCUGCUGCAAAGAGUUGAUUGAUGAGAAGAAGGCAAACAAGAGCAUGGAGUUCUUUCCUAAGAUCCAUGAGAACUUUGCCCUACUUCGGCUGUUGAACCCAAGCUCUCUCCUCCUUGGCGAUGAUGCGCGCUAUGCUCAUGAGACAUCAGAGUGAGAGCGGGGUAAUUAUAGCCAGCUUCAAUAUAUGGCAGUGUCGUGGCCAUGAGAGAUGAGGAGGGGGGGGGGGGAGCAGAGGAGGCCGGCAAUAAAGUGGAGCACCGAGCUUUAGCGGCGUUGCUUUUGCCUCCACCCGCCUUCUGGAGGGAGAUAAAGAAAUGCCGAGUCUCGGAAAGGAUGGGAUGGUGGACUUGUUUUAUGUGCUGCUGAUGCGGCAGUAAGGAUUGGUUAUGUUGGUGCGGGCAACCUCCUCCUCCUCCUUUCUCCAUGCUCAGUUUUGGUAUAUGUUCUUGCUUGUCGCUGGAGCAAAUCAAAGGACAACUCCCGUGGCCUUUCUCUGUUGCUUCCGUCCUACUCAAUGGAACUCUUAUCUUAUUAUACGGAUUGGAAACCAACCAAAUGAUUCAGCGUACUCGGAGCACAUGAUAAGGGAUCAAUCCACUGUUAGUGAUGGUGUGUUUGAGCUCCAGUGUACAUAAUCUAGAGGUAUGUGAUCCCUGUUUGCUCAUCAAAUUCGAGGGUCAGUCUCGCAAUGCUGAGACAGAAUGUGAUAAAGCCUACUCUAUUGCUUAGCUUGUGAUAAGGCUGAAACGAUACAGGAAAAGGGUAGAGAGAAAUUUGUGUCGCUCACAUCAUAAGACAUAGCUAUGAAAGUGAAAACUGCAUUUGCUGCCACCCAACAGGUCAUUGAGACCCAAAGCUAUGAGGAUAUUUCAGGGAAAAAUGAGGCAAAAUGUAGUUUUGUUUACUUGUCUUUCUUUGGUAGAGCAGAUGAACUCUGUCAAUCUUCAAUA